rnacentral:tRNA from 1 species
GGGCAUUUGGUCUAGUGGUAUGAUUCUCGCUUCGGGUGUGAGAGGUCCCGAGUUCAAUUCUCGGAAUGCCCC